rnacentral:rRNA from 1 species
CCUACGGGUGGCUGCAGUGGGGAAUAUUGGACAAUGGGGGGAACCCUGAUUCAGCCAUGCCGCGUGUGUGAAGAAGGCCCUCGGGUUGUAAAGCACUUUCAGUGAGGAAGAACGCCUGGUGGUUAAUACCCAUCAGGAAAGACAUCACUCACAGAAGAAGCACCGGCUAACUCCGUGCCAGCAGCCGCGGUAAUACGGAGGGUGCGAGCGUUAAUCGGAAUUACUGGGCGUAAAGCGCGCGUAGGUGGCUUGAUAAGCCGGUUGUGAAAGCCCGGGCUCAACCUGGGAACGGCAUCCGGAACUGUCAAGCUAGAGUGCAGGAGAGGAAGGUAGAAUUCCCGGUGUAGCGGUGAAAUGCGUAGAGAUCGGGAGGAAUACCAGUGGCGAAGGCGGCCUUCUGGACUGACACUGACACUGAGGUGCGAAAGCGUGGGUAGCAAACAGGAUUAGAUACCCGAGUAGUC